GACGAACGCUGGCGGCGUGCCUAAUACAUGCAAGUCGAACGAGAGCGACCGGUGCUUGCACUGGUCAAUCUAGUGGCGAACGGGUGAGUAACACGUGGGUAACCUGCCCAUCAGAGGGGGAUAACAUCCGGAAACGGAUGCUAAAACCGCAUAGGUCUUCGAGCCGCAUGGCUUGAAGAGGAAAAGAGGCGCAAGCUUCUGCUGAUGGAUGGACCCGCGGUGCAUUAGCUAGUUGGUGAGGUAACGGCUCACCAAGGCCGUGAUGCAUAGCCGACCUGAGAGGGUGAACGGCCACAUUGGGACUGAGACACGGCCCAAACUCCUACGGGAGGCAGCAGUAGGGAAUCUUCCGCAAUGGACGCAAGUCUGACGGAGCAACGCCGCGUGAGUGAAGAAGGUUUUCGGAUCGUAAAACUCUGUUGUUAGAGAAGAACAAGUGCUAGAGUAACUGUUAGCGCCUUGACGGUAUCUAACCAGAAAGCCACGGCUAACUACGUG
rnacentral:rRNA from 1 species